AAAGAGACCACCAAAGAAACAACGGGAGCGGCGGGCGUGGGUCUCGCCGCAGCCGCCGCGGACGAUCCGUUCAAGGGAUCGCCGUUCGCCGCCGUCUCCGAUUGGACCUACGGCGUCUCGCGCCGUUAUCAGCACGGCUGGCGUGCCUGGGCGUGGCCUUGGUCUACGUCAUCCGCGUGUACCUGGUCCAAGGCUUCUACGUCGUGUCGUAUGGCUUGGGGAUCUACAUUCUCAACCUCCUCAUCGGCUUUCUCUCUCCUCAGGUCGACCCUGAGAUUCACGACCUCUCCUCCGACGGCCCCUCCCUUCCCACCCGCGGAUCCGAUGAGUUUCGACCCUUCGUUCGCCGCCUCCCUGAAUUCAAGUUCUGGUACUCUAUCGCGAAGGCAUUUUGCAUUGCUUUUGUUAUGACGUUCUUCAGUGCAUUUGAUGUACCUGUGUUCUGGCCUAUACUUCUCUUCUACUGGGUGGUGCUCUUCGUUCUCACUAUGAGGAGACAGAUAGUACACAUGAUCAAAUACAAAUACGUUCCCUUCUCCUUUGGGAAACAGCGGUACGAUGGAAAGAAAGCUUCUUCAUCUUCAACAGAGACCGCAGGCCUCCUCCCCAGGGACUGAAAUCUUCAGCCAAGGGUUUUUUUGGAAGAUAUAUAUGGUGUGGAGGAAUCAUCUUGAGGAGCUAAUUCUGGCAUCUUGGAUGAUUUUUUUGGUUCCCUUCGAAUAUCCCUCUGGACCAGCUUGAUUAUGUCCCUCUGUAAUAUUUUGCUUUGGGAAGAUGAAGUGGUUGCUGAAGGCCUUUUUCCUUUUUGAGUUCUAGUAUAAAGGAUCCAUUUGUAUAGAAGGAACAUGCUCUACUUUCUAUUGCCAAAUAAUUAAUCCAGUGGCAUGUACUUUCAUGAGCUUUUGCAGUGGGAAAUUCUAGCCAUCCUCUGCAAUUGGGUUAUGUCAUUUUUAGUUGUACUUUUCAUCGUGUACUUUAAUCUGGGCUCAAUGCACUUAAUUUCCUCGGCUUAACGCGGAAAAUUGUUGUUUAUUCGGAUUAUGCUUCUUUCACAUGCGACUCUUUUGAGGUAUCAA